UACGUAGGGGGCAAGCGUUGUCCGGAAUCAUUGGGCGUAAAGAGCGUGUAGGCGGCUUGGUAAGUCCGCUGUGAAAGUCCAGGGCUCAACCCUGGAAAGCCGGUGGAAACUGUCAAGCUUGAGUCCGGAAGAGGCGAGUGGAAUUCCUGGUGUAGCGGUGAAAUGCGCAGAUAUCAGGAGGAACACCGGUGGCGAAGGCGGUUCUCUGGGCAGUGGCUGACGCUGAGGCGCGACAGCGUGGGGAGCAAACAGG
rnacentral:rRNA from 1 species